AUACUUACUUAGCAGGGAAAACACCAUGAUCACGAAGGCGGUUUUCUAACGGUGAGACUUAUCCCUUGUUCUUAGGGUUUGCUGACCUCUGCCAUUUCCCCAGAUGUGGGAAACUCAACUGCGUAAUUUCUGGUAGUGGGCAACUGUAUCUUUAAGCUUUCUCU